AACGCGGGACUCCGGAAGGCCCGGAAGGCCUGGCUGCGUCCCCCUCACGGAAGGAACGCGGGCGUCUGGGAGGCCCGGCUGCGUCCGCCUCACGGAAGGAACGCGGGACUCGGGAAGGCCCGGAAGGCCUGGCUGCGUCCCCCUCAAGGAAGGAACGCGGACGUCUGGGAGGCCCGGCUGCGUCCGCCUCACAGAAGGAACGCGGGACUUGGGAAGGCCCGGAAGGCCCGGCUGCGUCCCCCUCACGUAAGGAACGCGGGCGUCUGGGAGGCCCGGCUGCGUCCCCCUCACAGAAGGAACGCGGGACUCGGGAAGGCCCGGAAGGCCCGGAAGGCCCGGCUGCGUCCCCCUCACGUAAGGAACGCGGGCGUCUGGGAGGCCCGGCUGCGUCCGCCUCACGUAAGGAACGCGGGACUCGGGAAGGCCCGGAAGGCCCGGCUGCGUCCCCCUCACGUAAGGAACGCGGGCGUCUGGGAGGCCCGGCUGCGUCCGCCUCACAGAAGGAACGCGGGACUCGGGAAGGCCCGGAAGGCCUGGCUGCGUCCCCCUCACGGAAGGAACGCGGGACUCGAGGAGGCCCGGCUGCGUCCGCCUCACAGAAGGAACGCGGGACUCGGGAAGGCCCGGAAGGCCUGGCUGCGUCCCCCUCACAGAAGGAACGCGGGACUCGAGGAGGCCCGGCUGCGUCCCCCUCACGUGUGGAGGCCAAUCAGAGAUGACAAAAGUAAAGGCCAGAGAGGUGGCGAAG
rnacentral:lncRNA from 1 species